rnacentral:lncRNA from 1 species
CCCAAGGGCACGCUACCACUGAGCUACAUGCCCAGCCCUUUUUAUUUUGAGACAGGGACUAUGGUUUUGAUGUGAGAUGUCCUCCAAAAGCUCAUGUGUGGGACAAGGCAAGCAAGUUCAGGAGGUGAAAUGAUUGGGUUAGGAGAGCUUUAGCCCAGUCAGUGCAGGAAUCCACUGUUAGGGAUUAACUUGGUGGUGGCUGUGGGCAGGUAGGUGUGGCUGGAGGAGGUGGGUCCCUGGGGGCAUUUCUUUGGGGUUUAUGUUUUUCCUCUGGUGAGUCAAGUCUCCCUCUGCUUCCUGGUGGCCAGGUCCUGAGCUGCUUUCCUUUUCUGAACAUUUCUGCACCUUGGGCUCAGAGCAAUGGGGCCAGCUGACUGUAGACCAAGACUUCUGAAGCUGUGAGCCCCAGAUGAACUUUGUGUCCUCUAAAAUUGUUCUUGUCAGGGCUUUUGGUCACAGUGGUGAAAAAGCAGACUAAAACCGACUUGUCAGAUUGCUGAGGCCGGCCUUGAACCUGUAGGAUUAUAGGAGUAUGCCACUGCACCUGGCUCAGCUUAACUUUUGUAUAAAGAACAAUCCUCUGUUUGUUUACACUCUUAUUCCACUGGUUAAUAUUCUUUCUGUUUAUAUUUUUAUUAAUUUAUGGGUCAAUUAAUUCAAUUACACAAUUAUGAUUCUAUACAAUUAAUAUAAACACAUUUGGGCCCAAACACAGCAGACUCUUGCUAACCGUGCACCUCAACAGGUGAGAGGAGGAAUGACGGGCGGGAGUGAGAAGACCUUGCUGGGCCUGGGUGCAGGUGGCUGGCAGAUUCCAUCAAGGAAGUGAAGGGUAUCAGUUGAUCUAGUAAGUUGGAUAAGUGGGGGACUGGCUAAGAAAGUGCGACAAAAGUAUUCAUUGUUGCUGUGAUCUCAUGAAAGAUGGGGCACUUGGGUGCCCCGGGUCCCAUCACCGCAGACAGUGUUCCCCAAGAAAGGACAGUUGGCAACUCCACACCAACAUUUUUUCCGAUUGCGUGUCUGUCAUUUCCUACACACAACUGAAGCUUUGUCAAGGGUGGGUCGUGACAUGUGGACUAAGGACUGGCAGCCGCUGACCUGUUCACACCCUCUCCAGUCAUGGCUUCUCCCCAAUAAAACCAUGAGCCCUUGACCACUUGUGCUUGCAUGUUACUUAAGGACCUGAUGAUUAAUUUGUCACUCAAGCAGCAGCCACACUGCCUCUCCUUGGUGGCAUUCCCAUGAAGAAUAUGACCUUCUACCAAGGUGCUGAGGAUUUCUGAGACAAAGAAGCAAUAGGUCACAGCCCCUGGUCUGAGCCUGUGGCCCAGAACUGGCCCUCUGGUGAUGGCAAGGAGUUACGGCAUUCAGAUGGUGACUCAGUUGAAAACUUCACACAACGUUUGCAAAAUUAAUAAUGAAACCCCAAAGCAGAAGGACCAAGCCCCGGAAACCUUGUGUCUUUUCAUGGAAACACAAUGCUGAAAUGGCAGGUGGUGAAGGAAAGCAGAAGCAGUGGCAAGGUGGGCGGAGCAUUUCAUCCCAAGGUACCGGAAGACAUCAGGGUGGCUGAGAGGGCAGAG